rnacentral:rRNA from 1 species
CUGAUGUGAAAGUCUUCGGCUUAACCGGAGAAGUGCAUCGGAAACUGGAUAACUUGAGUGCAGAAGAGGGUAGUGGAACGUCCAUGUGUAGCGGUGGAAUGCGUAGAUAUAUGGAAGAACACCAGUGGCGAAGGCGGCUACCCUGGUCUGCAACUGACGCUGAGACUCGAAAAGCAUGGGUAGCGAACAGGAUUAGAUACCCUGGUAG